AAAACAGAUGAAGGAAAAAUUUUUGAGGCAUGCCUUUUAUGCACCUUGUGCCAGGCCUAAGGUUUGUGUUUGAGUGAUAUCACCUGCCUUUAGCAGGUGAAGGAGCUCAGGGUUGCACCUUAGGCGCCCGGCGCCCCAUUGUAAUAACCAUGUAGAUGUAUAAAACAGAUCCAGCUACUAAAUAUUUCAUCAUGCUUCUCACAUAGAACCAGUACUUGGGAACAAAAGUUUGAUGACAUGAAUAAACCAACACAAAAGAGAAAUUAAAGCAAACUUUAAAAACUAUCAAACAAAAGAAGCUUUUCAUAUUUAUCUAAUUUUAUAGACUCCUUAAUCAUAUCGCGAGUGAGCCAACAUUAUUUCCCUUUUUUAAGAAUUAAUAUUGUUAAUUUAACAUCAUGAAGAGAACUUCAAACUAGGAAGUGUACAUAUAUAUAUAUACGUGUGUGUGUGUGU
rnacentral:misc_RNA from 1 species